rnacentral:rRNA from 1 species
UACGUAGGGGGCGAGCGUUGUCCGGAUUCAUUGGGCGUAAAGCGCGCGUAGGCGCCCCGCAAGUCGGCCGUGAAAUCUCCGGGCUCAACUCGGAGGGGUCGGGCGAGACUGCGGGGCUCGAGGUGGGCAGAGGGCAGUGGAAUUCCGGGUGUAGUGGUGGAAUGCGCAGAUAUCGGGAGGAACACCAAUGGCGAAGGCAGCUCGCUGGGACGGUACUGACGCUGAGGCGCGAAAGCGUGGGGAGCAAACAGG